rnacentral:miRNA from 1 species
UGAACACAGUGCUAAAUGAAAGA